GGUGAUAUAGCUCAGUGGUAGAGCAUUCGACUGCAGAUCGAGAGGUCCCUGGUUUGAACCCGGGCGUCCCCU
rnacentral:tRNA from 1 species